rnacentral:rRNA from 1 species
AAAAAAUUUAAUAUAAAUAUAUUAGAGUAGUAUUAGUUAUGAUCUUGAAACUUAAAAAAUUUGGCGGUAUUUUAUUCUAUUCAGAGGAACUUGUUUUAUAAUUGAUAUUCCUCAUUGUAUCUUACUUAAAUUUGUUUAGUUUGUAUAUCGUUGUCAUCAGAAUAUCUUCAAAGGAAAAAAAUUUUCUUAAUAAUUAAUUAUUUAAAAUGUCAGAUCAAGGUGCAGCUUAUAUUUAAGAAAAAAUGAGUUACAAUUAAAAUUAUUAAAAUGGAUAUUAAAUUUAAAUAUUUUAUUGAAGGUGGAUUUGAAAGUAAAUUUUUAGAGAUUGUAAAAUUGAUUUUAGUUCUAAAAUAUGC